GGGGGUGUAGCUCAGUUGGGAGAGUGUCUGUUUUGCAAGCAGAAGGUCAGCGGUUCGAUACCGCUCAUCUCCA
rnacentral:tRNA from 1 species